rnacentral:rRNA from 1 species
AGCGGCGAGUGAAGCGGCAAAAGCUCAAAUUUGAAAUCUGGCGUCUUUGGCGUCCGAGUUGUAAUUUGAAGAAGGUAUCUUUGGGCCCGGCUCUUGUCUAUGUUCCUUGGAACAGGACGUCACAGAGGGUGAGAAUCCCGUGCGAUGAGAUGACCCGGGUCUGUGUAAAGUUCCUUCGACGAGUCGAGUUGUUUGGGAAUGCAGCUCUAAGUGGGUGGUAAAUUCCAUCUAAAGCUAAAUAUUGGCGAGAGACCGAUAGCGAACAAGUACAGUGAUGGAAAGAUGAAAAGAACUUUGAAAAGAGAGUGAAAAAGUACGUGAAAUUGUUGAAAGGGAAGGGCUUGAGAUCAGACUUGGUAUUUUGCAUGCUGCUCUCUCGGGGGCGGCCGCUGCGGUUUACCGGGCCAGCAUCGGUUUGGAGCGGCAGGAUAAUGGCGGAGGAAUGUGGCACGGCUUCUGCUGUGUGUUAUAGCCUCUGACGAUACUGCCAGCCUAGACCGAGGACUGCGGUUUUUACCUAGGAUGUUGGCAUAAUGAUCUUAAGUCGCCCGUCUU